rnacentral:rRNA from 1 species
GGGGGAUAUUGCGCAAUGGGGGCAACCCUGACGCAGCAACGCCGCGUGAAGGAUGAAGGUUUUCGGAUUGUAAACUUCUUUUAUUAAGGACGAAAAAUGACGGUACUUAAUGAAUAAGCUCCGGCUAACUACGUGCCAGCAGCCGCGGUAAUACGUAGGGAGCAAGCGUUGUCCGGAUUUACUGGGUGUAAAGGGUGCGUAGGCGGCUUUGCAAGUCAGAUGUGAAAUCUAUGGGCUCAACCCAUAAACUGCAUUUGAAACUGUAGAGCUUGAGUGAAGUAGAGGCAGGCGGAAUUCCCCGUGUAGCGGUGAAAUGCGUAGAGAUGGGGAGGAACACCAGUGGCGAAGGCGGCCUGCUGGGCUUUAACUGACGCUGAGGCACGAAAGCGUGGGUAGCAAACAGGAUUAGAUACCCUGGUAGUCCACGCUGUAAACGAUGAUUACUAGGUGUGGGAGGUCUGACCCCUUCCGUGCCGGAGUUAACACAAUAAGUAAUCCACCUGGGGAGUACGGCCGCAAGGUUGAAACUCAAAGGAAUUGACGGGGGCCCGCACAAGCAGUGGAGUAUGUGGUUUAAUUCGAAGCAACGCGAAGAACCUUACCAGGUCUUGACAUCCAACUAACGAAGUAGAGAUACAUUAGAUGCCCUUCGGGGAAAGUUGAGACAGGUGGUGCAUGGUUGUCGUCAGCUCGUGUCGUGAGAUGUUGGGUUAAGUCCCGCAACGAGCGCAACCCUUGCUAUUAGUUGCUACGCAAGAGCACUCUAAUAGGACUGCCGUUGACAAAACGGAGGAAGGUGGGGACGACGUCAAAUCAUCAUGCCCCUUAUGACCUGGGCUACACACGUACUACAAUGGAUGUUAACAGAGGGAAGCAAGACAGCGAUGUGGAGCAAACCCCUAAAAACAUUCUCAGUUCAGAUUGCAGGCUGCAACCCGCCUGCAUGAAGAUGGAAUUGCUAGUAAUCGCGGAUCAGCAUGCCGCGGUGAAUACGUUCCCG